rnacentral:rRNA from 1 species
GACGAACGCUGGCGGCGUGCCUAAUACAUGCAAGUCGAGCGCAGGAAAUCGACGGAACCCUUCGGGGGGAAGUCGACGGAAUGAGCGGCGGACGGGUGAGUAACACGUAAAGAACCUGCCCUCAGGUCUGGGAUAACCACGAGAAAUCGGGGCUAAUACCGGAUGGGUCAUCGGACCGCAUGGUCCGAGGAUGAAAGGCGCUUCGGCGUCGCCCGGGGAUGGCUUUGCGGUGCAUUAGCUAGUUGGUGGGGUAAUGGCCCACCAAGGCGAAGAUGCAGAGGCGACCUGAGAGGGGGAUCGGCCACACUGGGACUGAGACACGGCCAAGACUCAUACGGGAGGCAGCAGUUGGGAAUCUUCCACAAUGGACGAAAGUCUGAUGGAGCAACGCCGCGUGAACGAUGAAGGCCUUCGGGUCGUAAAGUUCUGUUGUAAGGGAAGAACAAGUGCCGCAGGCAAUGGCGGCACCUUGACGGUACCUUGCGAGAAAGCCACGGCUAACUACGUGCCAGCCGCCGCAGUAA